GACGAACGCUGGCGGCGUGCCUAAUACAUGCAAGUAGGACGCAGUUGCGAACGGGUGAGUAACGCGUAGGUAACCUGCCUCAUAGCGGGGGAUAACUAUUGGAAACGAUAGCUAAUACCGCAUACUGUGCGCUGGACCUGCUUUGUAUUAGCUAGUUGGUGAGGUAAAGGCUCACAAAGGCGACGAUACAUAGCCGACCUGAGAGGGUGAUCGGCCACACGGGUACUGAGACACGGUCCAGACUCCUACGGGAGGCAGCAGUAGGGAAUCUUCGGCAAUGGACGAAAGUCUGAUGGAGCGACGCCGCGUGAGUGAAGAAGGUUUUCGGGUCGUAAAACUCUUUCGGUAGGGAGGCGUUAUCUAACCAGAAAGCCACGGCUAACUACGUGCCAGCCGCCGCGGUAAUAC
rnacentral:rRNA from 1 species